UACGGUAGGGGCAAGCGUUGUCCGGAAUCAUUGGGCGUAAAGAGCGCGUAGGCGGCCCUGUAAGUCCGCUGUGAAAGUCAAGGGCUCAACCCUUGAAUGCCGGUGGAUACUGCAGGGCUAGAGUCCGGAAGAGGCGAGUGGAAUUCCUGGUGUAGCGGUGAAAUGCGCAGAUAUCAGGAGGAACACCGAUGGCGAAGGCAGCUCGCUGGGACGGUACUGACGCUGAGGCGCGAAAGCGUGGGGAGCAAACAGG
rnacentral:rRNA from 1 species